rnacentral:rRNA from 1 species
UACGAAGGGGGCUAGCGUUGCUCGGAAUCACUGGGCGUAAAGGGUGCGUAGGCGGAUCUUUAAGUCAGGGGUGAAAUCCUGGAGCUCAACUCCAGAACUGCCUUUGAUACUGAGGAUCUCGAGUUCGGGAGAGGUGAGUGGAACUGCGAGUGUAGAGGUGAAAUUCGUAGAUAUUCGCAAGAACACCAGUGGCGAAGGCGGCUCACUGGCCCGAUACUGACACUGAGGCACGAAAGCGUGGGGAGCAAACAGG